CAACUAUAAUUAUGGAGAAUAACAUUACAGGUAUACCUUGUUUUAUUGCACUUUGCUUUAUCAUACUUCACAGAUAUUGCAAUUUACAGAUUGAAGGUGGGCAGCAACCCUCUGUUUAUCAAGUCUUUUGGUGCAAUUUGCCCAUAGCAUUUACCUUUUUAGAGCCUUUGUGUCACAUUCAGUAAUUCUUACAAUAUUUCAUCCUUUGUUAUACUGAUGAUGGUGAUCACUGUGAUUGGUGACCUUUGUGGUAUUAAGACAGCUUGCUAAAGGCUCAGAUGGUUGGCUUUUUUUAGAAAUAAAGUGUUUUUUAAUUAAGGUAUGUACAUUGGUUUUUGCAGACAUAAUGCUGUUGCACACUUAAUAGACAACGGCAUAGUGUAAACCAAUUUUAUAGUCACUGGGAAACAAAAAUUUCAUGUGACUCACUUUAUUGCAAUAGUCAGGUUAUUCUAAUAGUCUGGAAUCAAGCCCCCAGUAUCUUUGAGGUAUGCUUGUAUACUAUAAGAAGCAACAUAAUUAGACAUAAGGGCUAGUUGAAAUACUAUUCUUACAAUGUUUAAAUAAUCCAAUAUUUUCUAUCAUAAAUUUAGUUUUAUUAAUUUCCAUUCAUCUUUUUCCUCAAAAGUAUAGAAUAAUAUUCUUGAACAGGGCCAUGCUAAUCCUUUCUGUAUUGUUCCAAUUUUAACACAUAUGCUUCCAAAGCAAGCAGAAAGAUGAUUAGUCUAUGGUUGAAAACUUAAAAAAUAUUCUUAAUAUUUACAAAUGUUACAUUUGACACUUGCCAUAUACCUUUGUAGAAAGAAAAUUAGAGUUGAUUCUCUGGAAAAAGUUAAAUACAAUUUUUUUCUUGAGGAUAAUAUUACAACUUGGAUUUUAUUUUGUAUUUGAAAGAUAGAAGCAAACUAAUUACAUUUACAACUGGAUGGAUGCCAAAAUUGUUUGUAAAAAGUGUUAACAUUGGGAAUGCUGACUAUAUUUUAGAUAUGAUUGUCAUAAAUGCUAUAAGAAUAUAAAGUAAUUACAGUCAUCAUGUCCUAACUUCUCUUCCUAUAUCUAGUGCUUUUUUUUUUUUCAGGGAAAACAGUAGCAUGAUAAAGGGCACAUUGCUUUGCUUUAAAAAGUGUUAUAAUUCUUGUAUAUAAUUAUUAAAAUUUCCUUUGUUUUUGUGCACUAUUUACCUUGAUUUUUUUUUUUUUUUGUAAAAUAUCUUCUGAAUGCUUUUGUAUUGCAAAAUUAUGUGCUGAAUGGAAAAGCGAUUUAACAAAACUUGGGAAAGUUCAAAUAAUGGUGGAACGUGUACUUAAAAAUUAGCAGAUCCUAAAAAUAUGUUUGAUAUAUGGUUAAACAUGUAACCAAGUUGUGUAUAUAUAAUGGAUUUGACAAGUGGAGCUCAAAUAUAAGAACAAUCACAAGCAGCAUUAGCAGUAGUUCUAAACAGAAACCAUCACUUGGUAUUUGCUAAACCAGGUUAAACAGUGCCUAUGGAAGUGUGAGUUCAAUUUUGCAGACGUUCUGGAUAAAUAAUGCAAGUCAGGGACCCUGGGGAAGGACGGAGCUGAAUUCAGGCCUCCGAGUGGCUAUGAAGCACUGGAGGGAGGUGAGUUGGUGGGGAGCGAUUCUGGGCUUCCUGAGGGUGCAUUUACCUGCAGUGGAGCCGCUGAGUGGCCCUGAGCGAGGACACAGGAUAACGCCUAGACACGUAAGCGUGACUGUAUAUCUGGGCACAACCGCAGACCGUGAGUUCCGUGGAUCCGAUGCUCCUUCGCUGACAGCAGGACCAUCCGGAAGCCCCGAAUACUUCAUGUGCCUCACUCUGGGCAGAGAGAAGUACGAAAAAUACUAAGUCUUAAACUGGGUAGACUUGAAUUUGAGUUUUACCUAAAAAAAUAAUUUUAACCCCAAAGUAACUGAGCUUUUUAAAGAUUAAUGCUUAUCAGGUGAGGUUUUGUUUUUCUGUUUGUUUACCCCAUGAGAAGAAGCGGCAGCUGCAAAGCUAACCUAAGUUCUGUUACAUACAAUUUAAUCCUUCAUUUCUUCAUUUCGACUAUGUUUGAGUUUUGUCACAUGUAUAUUUAUACAUAUAUAUAUUUAUACAUAUAUAUAUAAAUGCAUACGCAGAUCUGUAUCUGUGAGACAGGUUUAUUCCAUCAUCUCAACUCUGAGGCAUGAACAGAGCAGUUUUUGUUGCUUUGUUUUCGGCUGUACCUAUGGAAGUUCCCGGGCCAGAGAUCAAACGUGUGCCACAGAAGUGGCCCAAGCUACUACAGUGACAACAACACUAGAUCCUUAACCCACUGCACCACAAGAGAACUCCCUAAAAGUUUUUCUUCUAAUAUCUGGGCUCGUUGUAUUAUUUUUGACAGAUUUUACUAACCUCUGAUCAGUGUGGACAAUUAAACUUGGUCCAAUCCAUUUUAAAACUUCUGGUCUUAUAUCCGAUGCUAAACAUGCAGACCUUCCACCAUCAUCCCAGCUCUGGGUGCCCUAGUGUUUGGGGGCAGAGAGGAAGAAAUCAGUGCCUGACAUGGUGAUGUCACUGCCUUCUCUUUCUCACUUGUCGCUGCUUCUGUGACAGAACUCUAACUGGCCUUUGAUGCCUUCUGGAAAAACCUCUGGCAGUUGCCUAUAGAGUUAAGGUUACACCUGUCACUCCUUGCUCAGAAAAGAGCUACUCUUUGGUAUUUGCACAAAAGAAAUCAAAACAUAGCCAAAAACAAGCUAGCAAAGAAACAAAACCACUCAAGAAUCUUCAGAUAGUCAUUAUGAAUAACAUGGGAAACAGUGGCCACAAUAAGUGGCUGGUUAUGACACCUGACUGUUUCAUGCAGACACCUAAUAUUUCCUCCCAGCACAUGGCUGGAUACUUUACAAGCUCUUGUGGAGUUUCCAUCAGCAAGAAUUUCCUGAGUAAGCAAGCCUGUCACAAAAGACUCUGCCCUCUCGGAGUGAGGGAAUCACCUUUCUGACCAUUCGCUUCUAUUGGCCAGUUGAUGGGGAGAAGUUUGGCUCAGGUGCUGUUUGGUAAAGUAGAGCUGGUCCUGCCUCCAAGAAAGCCUGUGGACAAGGUGCCUGGUUCCCAUUUGGGAUACUUUCCAUGGGGUCUCUCUUUACACUGAGUGGCAUUUAACAUUUCAUUCUUAAUUUCGAGCCUGGUAAAAUUUGACACUAAGAUUCAAUGACAGUGACAGUAACAGUCUCCUGAAUAUUCUAAACACAUACAUGCACGAAAAAGAAACUCAUGCAAUAGUUGAUAACCAGGGGAGAGUCUGCCCCUACAGCAAUAUAUGACUAUCUGGAAACAUGAUUUUCACAAUGGAGGUGGAGGAUGCUACUGGUAUCUAAUAAAUGGAGAAAAGAGCAGUUUCUAAACAUCGUACCACACAGUAUACCCUCAUAAAGCAAAGAAUUACCUGGUCCAACACGUCAAAAGUGUCAAGGUUGAGAAACUCUGAGUUCCAAAAAAAAAUAUCUCAAACUUGCCUUUUCAGAAAAAUCAUAAAUGGUGGAGAGGUUGAAAAACUCGGCACCUUGUAAGAGUGAGCCUGUGUGAAAUAAACACGCCAUGCCAUCAAGCUGCAGUUAUUUACAGUGAUGGUAGGCAUUGUCUUCUCAACCUUCACACAUCAAGUCAUUUCAAUAAGCCUGUACGGUUUUUGUGAGAGGUAAUUACAACUAGAAAUGAUAGCAAAACCAUAUUCUCAAAGGACACUGUGGUACGGUAACCUAAUGAUGCAGAUAGAAUAUCAUUUAGUACAUUUUAAAAGAAUUAUGAAGAACAUUGCCAAUGACAUUAUGUUAUGUCCUUUAACAUGUAACAUAUUUGAAAUAUUAAAGAAACAUAAUACCUUUAAAUGAUGCAAAGAUAUCUACUUAUUUUCAACGUUCAUUUACACCCUGGAAAUGAGUGUACUUCUCUGUGCUGUAACUUACAUAAAUUCAUUUCAAAGAUGUAUUUUUAGAUUCAUAGUUUGACCAACAGUAAAUGAUAAAUUUUGGAAGAGACUAUAUACUCCUAAAAUACUCCAGUGCACAGCCUGGAGUCAAAUACUAUUUUGUAAAUGUUGUGUUAUUAAAAAGAAUAUACACAACAUGUAUUAUCAGAUUUAACAAAUGCCACACAUAUCUAUUCACUUAUUUAGCAUUUAUAGAGCUUACAGUUAAAAGAACUGGAUUAAGUGUUGAAGGUGUAAGGAAUACACAGGAAGAUAAUGUCCUUUUCCUCGUGGAGGGAAUAUUCCAGUGUCUACUACACCAGAUGGUUUAUAUGUAGUCUUAGCCCAAAUGAGCUAACAAUCAUUAAUUUCAUCCAUACCAAAAUUACAUUAUGUAUUCUGGCUACUAAUUUUAAAAGGUCACUAUAAAAAGCAAAAUUUCAAAUAUGUAUGUUUCAUAUUAUAAAAUGUCCAGCUAUGUAAAUUAAAAAUUUUCAAUUUAUAUAUAUUUAUAAUAUUGAUAUGUAUAUAUAAACCAAAGGUGAUAUUUUAACAACUUUUAUUAAUAGUCCAACCUUAAUCUUUAACAUGUACCAAGGAAGCAAUAGAUAUUAAAUGAAUUUAAAAAAAAGCAUAGAUUUCUACUUACAGUCAUUAUUUGAUUUUUAGCCCAGAUUUGAAUUGAGUAAUAGUUUUUGCCAUCUGUUUACUAUUUGUUAGCCAGUCUUAAGUGAAUUGGUAGUCUCAGUCCAGCUUAUUCCUUGCUAAAUCAGGUUAUGUUAAAAAAGAAUGACUGCCAUUAAAUUAGGACUAAUUGUAGAACUAAUUGAGACCAAUGGUGGUCUAAGUGUCAGGUUGAAAGGUUGUUGGAUCCAAUAGUUAAAUCAGCAGGGUGGCUUGCACUGUAAGAUUUGAUUUCACAUAAAUGUCACAGAAUUUCUGCUUGGUGAUUUCAGUGUCUUUCUGAAAAUUAAAAAAAAAUUUAGAAAAAUGCAUAACAAAUACUUUAAAGUUUCACAAGACCCCAGUAAUGAAGUGCUCACAGCAAGUUAAAAAUGUUCUGUUCAUCCAGAGGUGGGAUCAAGAUGGCAAAGGAGUAGGAUGUGGGGCUCACCAUCUCCCACAGACACAU
rnacentral:lncRNA from 1 species